CCUCCUUCCUAAACCACCCCCUUCCCGCUCACCCCCCCCAACCCCCGCCCAUGCUACGCUGUGGAGAAGGAGGAAGUUUUGAGUAGGCAUCCAAAGUCAACAGGGCCAGAUAUCGAUCUCCUGCAGCUCCUCCUGGUGGAUCUUGAGGUUCCUUUAAAGCACCUCCACUCCUGGAACCUUCCCUGGCUCCACUAUCGAACUGCUGGGUGGGGAUCCGUUCCUGCUAUUACCCUCUUCUACUGAGAUGGGCAGCAAGACAGGACAGCACAGCUGCUCAGCAGUUCAGAGGAUGGGGAAGUUCCAGCAAGGAAAAGCAAGAAGCUCCCGAGGAGACAGGUCGUUCAAUAUUCUAGUCUAGAAGAUCAGAGACCGAAGCUGGCAUCCUGUGUUGCUGGAUUGAGGAACUAGUACUGAAUUUUGCACCUC
ensembl:antisense Gm15848 predicted gene 15848